UGUCGGCCCCGGAUUCCCAGGAUGGACGAGAAGGCCUAAGGGAAAGCUGUGUCCGAAGGGCAUGUCUGGGAUUCUCGGGGCUUGGACGCACCAGGCUGCUGCUUCAGUGUCUCUCCAGAGGCAAUACAGCUGUGCCGCAGGGCCGCACCGUGGAAGCCCCUGGGAGCUUUCGUAACGCCGUGUUCCUCCACCGAAGCUGCUGCUACCGACAGGAGGCCCCUGGCCACUUGGAUGACGGUCGCCACGUGAUUCCCACACAAACGCCGGGCUGUGGUUCACCUCCGCACCGGGCUCUGUUUUGUAGCGGAUGGUGUUGGUGCCUUGCCAAGAACCUUUCACCGUACAACCCCCCUCCAGCUGCCGUGGGUGCCGGCUGCUGACAGCUCACAGCUGCCCCCUUGGCUGAAUGGGAGCCACUCCACCUGGCUGAGUGGGAGAAACUUCACCUGGGUGAACGGGAGCCAUCUCACCUGGAAGAACGGAGAAAUUUCG